rfam:Glycine soja cultivar W05 scaffold1826_13, whole genome shotgun sequence.
CAAUUGUUCUGAUGUUGCUCCUUAAAAAUCACACAGUUUUAAAAUUGAAUUACAAAAUUAAAUAUUAAUAUGAUUACAUGAACUCUUUCUUAGUUAUUUCUAUAUUGCUCCUUGUGCCGUAAGGUGUUGGGUUAAGUCCCGCAACGAACGCAAUCCUCAUGUUUAGUUGCCAACAUUUAGUUUGGAAUCCUAAACAGACUACCGGUGAUAAGUCGGAGGAAGGUGAGGAUAACGUCAAGUCAUCAUACCCCUUAUGUCCUGGGCGACACACGUGUUACAGUGGACGGGACAAAGGAUCACGAUCCCUCAAGGAUGAACUAACUUAAAAAACCCGUCCUCGGUUCAAAUUGUAGGACAGAAAACAACUGAAAAAAA